rnacentral:lncRNA from 1 species
UUGAAAACAGAAGUUGUGGCUUUAAAGGUCAAGCUAGAUGAAGAUCAACAAGUUGAGAGCCAGAAGAUAGUUCAACUGGAGAAAGAAAAAGCAGAACAUGUGGAAACCAUCUUCAAGCUAAAAACUGAAGUUGUGCUCUUAAACUCAAAACUAGAAGAGACAACCAAGUAUGUAAGGAUGUUGAACAAUGGAUCUGACUCCUUAGAC